AAUAUUGCGCAAUGGUGGGAACUCUGACGCAGCGACGCCGCGUGAUCGAUGAAGGUCUUAGGAUCGUAAAGCUCUUUCCUUGGGGAAAAAGGGAGCCGUAAGCCUUCUUGACGGUACCCAUUGAGCAAGCCCCGGCUAACUACGUGCCAGCAGCCGCGGUAAUACGUAGGGGGCAAGCGUUGUCCGGAAUUAUUGGGCGUAAAGGGUGCGUAGGCGGCCUUUUAAGUCAGGUGUGAAAGCCCACGGCUUAACCGUGGGAUUGCAUUUGAAACUGGAAGGCUUGAGUAUCGGAGAGGGUAGUGGAAUUCCCAGUGUAGCGGUGGAAUGCGUAGAUAUUGGGAGGAACACCAGUGGCGAAGGCGGCUUACUGGACUGUAACUGACGCUGAGUCACGAAAGCGUGGGGAGCAAAC
rnacentral:rRNA from 1 species